GAUUUGUUUCUUAAAAGACUAUUUAAUAAGCAAUUUUUCUUUUUUUUUAAUUGGCACUUUAGGUAAGUGAUUCCAGUCAAUCUAAAUUUCCUAGGGAAGUUGCUUGAGGACAAAUACAAAAUAAACUUUCCAGUUAAUACAAGUAGCCUAUGUUGGUUAAUUGUAUUAGAGCAGAGUCACAGCGUAAACUGCCCUUACUUGAGCAUACACACUAAUCUUCUCACUCCUCCCAGUCUUCAUCUUCAUCAUCUUUAUUCAUCCUUUUCCAUGCCUUAUUUUCAACCAAAACACAAGUGGAACAAGGGCUUUCUAUUAAGCACCUGUUGACAUUUUUUUGACCCCUGUGACUUUUUGACAUUUAGACCCACUUAAUUUUUGACCCCCUUGACCAUUUGAAUUCUUGACAAAUUGAUCUUUUGAGCUUAUAAUUUUUUGACCCCUUGACCUUUAGACCCACUUGACCUUUGGACCAUUUGACUUCUUAACACCUUGACCUUUGGACCUCUUAAAUUUUUACCCUUUGACCUUCUCAUUUUCUGACCUGUUGACCUUUUGACCUUUUAACUUUUCCACCUUCUGAUGCCCUGACCUUUUGACCCUUCUAUCCCUUUGGCCUUUAACUCCUUUGAACCCUGACUUUCUGAUCUUUUGACUCCUCAACUUUUUUAUCCUUUUGUCCUCUUGACCCUAUUCUCCUUUUACCUCUUUACCCCUUGCUCUUUGAUUUUUGACUCUAUGGGAACUGUUAGGUUACAGCCUGAACCAGUGAUUGAUCACUGAUGAAGAGGUUUGGCCAGCCCUGGGAGCACAGGUGCAAAAAAAAACCUGGGUUCACUCCUCCCCAAUCUCAUAUAAGGGCUGGCAGCAAAGAAGGAAGUAUCUCUACUUGGAGGAUUUUUCCUUGUGGGAGUUUUCUAGUGAGUUCUUAUUUUGGAAUGAGGCUGCUGCUGAAUUUUGAGCCAGCGACUUCAGUGACCUCCCAGUGAUGAUUACAAGAAACCUUUUCUGAAUACUCAGCCACAUUCAACAUCAUCUUUGUGCAGGAGGUAGUCCAGGUUCCCAUUCCAUGUAAUAUAUCUGCCAACAGAAAAGAUAAUUUGCUACCCAGGCAUGAGUGAAUGUUUGCUUCCUGAGACAUGUUAACUGAGGAGGAAGGCUAAGUGCAUUAUGGACAGUGGAUUACAGAUGGCAAUGAUGGGGGGCUCCCUCUACUGCAGCAAGCAGGAUGGUUUUGCUGAUCCCCACCAGUAUUCUGUACUUUGGCUAUGAGAGAAAAAUAAAAAGUCUUUUAAAGUAAAA